rnacentral:lncRNA from 1 species
UCUGAAAGGUCUCAAGGGCUUCUCUUGAUUCAACUGUCCCUUUUGUGCAGUGAUGUAGUCUUAGCUAACUUCAGUGAUUUUCAAAUUGAUAUUAAAAUCUUUCGAUCUCCUUUUCAUCACCAAAAUGAGAGGUUUAAAAUAUCGAUCAACAUUUUUUUGUGUUCCUGUGUUUUCUUGGCCUUCAUUAAUUACCUCAUUGAUGGUGCCUCUUCAAGCCAGAUACGAAAAUCUACUUUUUGUGGAAGUUUAACAUGUCCAGCCAAUAAAAAAUUCAAAUUUUCAACAAAUUAUCGAUAUCAUUACAAGUACUCCGUUGAUGUUGCUACUGAGUUUGCUGGCAUUGGAAAAAAUGCCUCUUCCUUCCAGUUCGAAUUAGAGUUGGAGUUACUCUGGAAAUCUUCAUGCGCAGGUCAGCUACAGGUAAGCUGAAUGUCAAGACUAAAAAAACCAUGCUCAAUUCCCUCCCGAAUAAUUUGUUGAAAAAUUAGUUGAGUAUGACCAGAGCAAAUUCUUCAAUAAG